CUGCAGUCAAUGUGAUGUUAAAGCGACGCCCUGUCUGCCUCUUCGCCUGGAUGUAAAAGAUCCGAACGUUUCAGGUCAUUUCGCUGAGCUGCUGCACUGCUUCCAACCUUCCAGAAGCUUUCUAAUUCCAGUGUUUUUUGAAAAGCCUGUAAGAAAACCACAAAACUGUUCGAAGGUUAGCAGCAGCAGCAACUGAGAGGGUUCUUGGUUGAAAAAUGAUCAGAUUGACUGUCACAGGAGGAUAUUGCUGAUGACCUCAUUUCGAAAGCAUUGAAAAGCAGCAAAAUGCAGCCACAAUGAGAUACAUGGAUCCUACAAUAUGUAUUAAUGCUUGGAUUACCCCAGCAAGUUGAUCUUCUAUAGCCCAGUAAAUGUAUCCUAAAUAACCAUGGUCUGCUGCAUAACUGGAGCACAGAAAGGCAUAAACACGCAGCAGGAUAAGGAGUGAGCCUAACUACAGCAGGAGCUGAAGAGGACAAAGAAGAAAUGGAGGUGAAACAAGGAAAAUCAGUGCAAUGGACCUUGAAAGGUGACAGCCGCUGCUCUCAACAUCAAAGCAUUAUUUAAGUCAGUAAGACACAAAAGGUCCCUUAUAAAACUGAGAUCACUGGGAGUCAAAGGGAGAAGCCACCAGUGACUAGAAUAGUAACUGACACUGUUUGUAGUUGUCCCAGCCAACGUCACAAUCCAGGGCCAUUACUACAGAUACUUUGCCCUUGGUUUCACACCAGUGAUUUUCUGAUGCCUGAUAAAAAUAUAACCCACACACAUGCAAAAGUUGAUUGUGUGUUUUUUAAAAAUUUAUGCUGAAGUCAGAGCCCUGACAUCAUGGGGUUUUGGAUCAUUGGACUGUAUUGUGUUCCCGUUUGCUAAAAUUUUGCAAAUAAUUCCAACAGUUAGGCUAGCAGGUAUUCUGGAACAAUGUGCAGCACUUUAAUCACCUUUAACCUUUAUAUUUCUAUGAAUUACAUUGAAAAAUCCUUUGGUGAUCUUGGUGUUUAUAACACUUUGUUUCUGUCUACCGAGGGGUUGUGGCAAUCCAGGAGAGAUUAUGAAGCAUCCGAUACUACUUUGGGAAAUAAAGUUACAUUUCAUUGUGAUGAAGGGUACAAACUGGUUGGUAGUGACUACCGGAUAUGCACAGCUGAUGGUUGGAGCGGUGUGGUCCCAACAUGUAAAAGGUCUCAGGAAAGCAACUUGAGUGUAUCACUCUCCUAUAGUUACAUCUGAACAGUGUGGAGUCCCGCAGUAUGGCAGUUGCAAAACGCUCACGCGGACAAGCAGACACUUUAAGUGCAACGCAGCAGUGCCAUGACAUCAAGGACAAGUGGCAUUAAGACAACAGCACAGAAAAAUCCCAGUUGCACAUCACAAUAAUACCGGAUUGAGUGACAGUCAGGAAGACUCAAGAGAAAGAGUUCUGAGCCAUAGGUCUUGAAAUGUGUAAAGCAUUUAGCUUUCAGUUGCUGCUGUCAUUCUUACUCUUGAAGACCUAAACAAUAUGAAAGCAGUUUCUCUGUAUCUCUGACUACCUAAAUAUAUAAACUGCAGUUUAACUGUUGGAACAUUCCAUUCCAUCAGCCAAUUUCUCAUGAUGCAAGAGAACAUGAUACUUCGGAAAAAAUAUAUUACUGAAAACUAAACAUUAUUUUCUCAUUGUAGUCCAUAAGAGGAAGGAGUCCAGCAAAUAGUGAGAUCAGUUAUGUGGAACAUCCAGGGACAAUGAUAAACCAAUUGUUGGGACUAAACUUUCACAAGCGAACCAUCAGUAUGGAAUCACGGGCAUUUCUCUCAGAUAACUCCAAUUUGCACUUAUGUAACAAUUUUUAUAGGCAAGAAAAUUUCUCAGAAUGAUUUCCAAUAAGGAGGAGGGGGUAACAGUAGACAGAGAUGACACAAGUGGUAAUGGAGCAAGUGUUGAGGAUUAAGCUGAACGCAGGGUUGAGCAAGAUGCUAUGGUUCUGCACUUGCAGAUUUUGCUUGACAACCAGAGAAUUACUUCAUCCUAAUGGCUGAAGGUGUGAGAGGGUGGAUAGGGGAGCUGUAGAUCAGGCAAACAAUCAGCUGUUGCAAUGUCACCUGAUCUCAUUGCAGGUGCAAUGGUGUUUUCCCACGGAAUAUGUGGGGUAAAAAGACAUGCAUUUAUAUUGCACCUUUCACAAUCUUGUGACGUCCCAAGUCACUCACAGCCAUUGAAGUACUUUUGAAGUACUGUUCUAAUGUAGGAAAGAAUGGCAGCCACAGAAAGCUCCCACAACAGCAACAUGAUAAUAACCAGAAAAUCUGUUUUUUCAAUAAUGUUAAUUGAGGGCUAAAUAUUGACCAGGACAGGAUGGAGAACUGGCCUGUUCUUCAAAAUAGUGCCAUGGAGGCUUAUGCGUGUUCAGUCAUUCAGAAAUGCUUAAUUAUUUUCCAGUUUCUAUUGCUGGCCAUGUCACCUCAAUUGUGGUGGAUAUUUAAGUUUCCACUGGAUUUAUAUUAUCCAAAUUUACAAAAAUGAUGCAGAGAAAUAUAAGAAUAAAAGCAGUUCUACACUCACCCAUA